rnacentral:lncRNA from 1 species
UUGAAAAAGGGCUAAAUUGUGAAAGAUGGUAAAGUGUGCAUAAAGUUGUGAUUUUGUGAAAUUGAGGCCCGUUAUGAGCAUGAAAUAUGAUUUAGUGAAGUUUGAAAUUUAAGAAUUUAGAGAAUUUUAUUUUUACGAGCUUAGGGACAAAAGUAGAAUUUUUGAAAAGUUAUGGGGAAAAAUGUAAAUGUGUCAAAAUGUUGUGUAUGAAUUGUAUUUGAAUGGAAUAUUGAUAAAAUGUAUUAAAUUGUGUUAAUAUAGAUCAAGAAAGAAGAAAUAGUGCAAGUGAUCGGG